CCUAUGUUGAUCACAGGGUCGAAUAAGCAGGUAAAAUAUUUGCAAAUUUGAUAAUUUAAUGGCUCAUUGAGCUAGGACUGUUCGGUAUACCGAUGUACCGAAAAUAUCGGUAUUAAAUCAAUAUCGGUAUAUCGAUACCGGACAUUCAACCACACCGAUAUACCGAAAUUUCGGAUAUACCGGAAUUUUUCGGUAUACCGUGUUAAAUUUACCAACUAUAUGGCGAAACUAUAACCUUUAUUUUACUACUGAAUGGCAAUUCAAAGAACUUUCUA